rnacentral:tRNA from 1 species
GAGUGUAUAGUAUAAUGGUUAGUACAUACCACUUCGGAUGGUUUAAUAGGUGUUCAAAUCACCUUACACUCU